CGGGAGCCGAACCCGGAAUAGAGGAAGGGCAACCGCAGUGGCUGCCUCUACUGUCGGGCGGAGAGAAUGGCCGUGGCUGUCUUCUCUCGCUUCGGUUGCUGCCUUGCGCUCGGCGUGCUCUUCUCAGGGCAAAUUCUCCAGACCCUUGGCGUCGGCGUUGGAAUCAACUAUGGGCAGAUAGCCAACAACCUACCAUCUCCCACCAGUGUUGUUAAGCUUCUCCAGUCCAUCAACAUCAGCAGAGUAAAACUCUACGAUGCUGACCCUAAAGUGUUAACUGCCUUCGGCAACUCCAGCGUCGACUUUAUCAUUGCAAUCGGCAACGAGAACAUCCUGAACAUGACCGACCCGACGAAAGCCCAGGAAUGGCUUAAACAGAAUGUCCAGCCUUACCUUCACCAAACUCAAAUAACUUGCGUGACCGUCGGAAAUGAGGUUCUGACCACCGGUGACACUGUGUUGAUGGAAAACCUUCUCCCAGCGAUGCAGUCUGUAUAUCAAGCUCUUGUUGCCCUCGGAUUGGACAAGCAAGUGAACAUUUCGUCAGCACAUUCCGUUGCCAUCUUAGGGAAUUCAUAUCCUCCUUCCUCUGGUUCAUUUCGUGAAGAUCUUGCGGAGUACAUACAUCCGCUGGUCAACUUCCAUUCUGAAAUCAACUCUCCCUUCCUCAUCAAUGCCUACCCUUUCUUUGCUUACAAAGGGAACCCCGACAGUAUUUCCCUGGAGUAUGUACUAUUUCAGGACAACCCAGGAGUCACUGAUCCAAACACGAAUUUAACCUAUGAUAAUAUGCUGUAUGCUCAGAUCGAUUCGGUCUAUGCUGCAAUCAAAGCAAUGGGUCAUACAGACAUUGAUGUUGCAAUAUCUGAAACUGGAUGGCCUUCCAAAGGAGACCCCGAUGAGACUGGGGCAACACUGGAGAAUGCUGCAAAGUACAAUAGGAAUCUGCUGAAGAGAAUUGCAAUGAACCAAGGCACGCCGAUGAAGCCUACGGUGCCCAUUAACGUACAUGUUUUUGCUCUGUUUAAUGAAGAUUUAAAACCAGGUGCAACGUCAGAGAGGAACUAUGGGCUCUUUUAUCCUGAUGGAACUCCUGUUUAUGAUAUCGGCUUUCAAGAUCACGUCCUGCUAUCUUCGCCAUCUUCUGCAACACUGAUGGCAUGGUCUCGGUUCGGCAUCCUUAUCUCCGCAAUGGUCAUGAUGAUAUAAGUUGUUCUCUUCCUUACAAUAGUCGGUAGUUGGGAGCAUUGAUUGAUCAUAAAUUUAUCCUGACCUGGAGAUAUCAGACAUUGAUACGGCUUCUGGCUGUUCAUGGGUGCGUAUUAUGGACGAUCUCCCGGUGCUUAUGCUUUGUUUUCGAAUAGAUUACUUAUAGAGAGAGAGUGUGUGUGUGUGUGUGUGUGUGUUAGAUAGAUGAGCUUAAUUGAGAGAGAGUAUUACUUAUAUAUAGUAUCUGAUUCAUUAUUGUAUAGACAAUUUGGUGGGAGUUAUAGUGUUCCAAAGUCAGUCACUACCUUUUCUUUUGGUGUCUCUGCUGCUUAAUGUGUAAACGUGGACGCUGGAUUUUUCGGACCUUCAUCUAAUUGGAUCUGUUUCCGAGUUGAGACAA